rnacentral:rRNA from 1 species
UACGAAGGGGGCUAGCGUUGUUCGGAAUAACUGGGCAUAAAGCGUACGUAGGUGGAUUUGCAAGUCAGGGGUGAAAUCCCGGGGCUCAACCUCGGAACUGCCUUUGAAACUGCGAAUCUGGAAUGUCAGAGGGGAUAGCGGAAUUCCAAAUGUAGGGGUGAAAUCCGUAGAUAUUUGGAGGAACACCGGUGGCGAAGGCGGCUAUCUGGAUGACUAUUGACACUGAGGUACGAAAGCGUGGGGAUCAAACAGG